UACAGAGGGGGCAAGCGUUAUUCGGAAUUAUUGGGCGUAAAGGGCGCGUAGGCGGCUUUGCAAGUGGCGGGUGAAAUCCCUCGGCUUAACCGAGGAACUGCCUGUCAAACUGCAUGGCUUGAGACCAGGAGAGGUGAGUGGAAUUCCCAGUGUAGCGGUGAAAUGCGUAGAUAUUGGGAGGAACACCAGUGGCGAAGGCGGCUCACUGGACCGGUUCUGACGCUGAAGCGCGAAAGCGUGGGGAGCAAACGGG
rnacentral:rRNA from 1 species